AAUGAACGCUGGCGGCGCGCCUAAUACAUGCAAGUCGAGCGAGAAGACGUAGCAAUACGUUUGUAAAGCGGCGAACGGGUGAGGAAUACAUGGGUAACCUACCCUCGAGUGGGGAAUAACUAGCCGAAAGGUUAGCUAAUACCGCGUACGCUCCUUGGACUUUGGUUCAGGGAGGAAAGCGAUACCGUGGGUAUCGCGCUCUUGGUUGGGCUCAUGUCCUAUCAGCUUGUUGGUGAGGUAACGGCUCACCAAGGCUUCGACGGGUAGCUGGUCUGAGAGGACGAUCAGCCACACUGGCACUGCGACACGGGCCAGACUCCUACGGGAGGCAGCAGUAAGGAAUAUUGCGCAAUGGGCGAAAGCCUGACGCAGCGACGCCGCGUGGGGGAGUGAAGGUCUUCGGA
rnacentral:rRNA from 1 species